UGCCUGUGGUAACUGGACACUGUGGAGACACAGGUCAUCGCUGAGUCUUCUCUGUGUAACUCUGAAGCAAUGCUCAAGGUGAAGAUUGAGCAAACUGAGUUUAAGAUGGAGGGAUCUGAAUCUCACUGUUCUGGCCAGGGUUAGGAUAGGCUGUUCUGUUUUGUGUGUUUUUGAGGAGGAUUUUGGCCAAGAUCUGAGCAUGGUAUUUUCAACAAGGUUGUGGAAAGGUAUGUUCUCAACUGUUUAUUGUCAGUAAAUGCAGGUUUUCUGUUUGUUCAGGUCUGGACUCAUAUAGAUGUGUUCAAAUGAUGAGAACAAAUCUUUCUUAAUGCAGGUGUGGACUCCAUCUGUGAUGUUACUCAGGAUGCUGUAUGUAACGGCACCCUAGGACUACCUGUGUACCUACAGCUGAUUAGGGACGCCACAGGACACGAACUGAAGUUAUUCAGUGGAGAUAAGAAUGUUUUUACAUCCAAAUCCUCCAAGACAGUGUUCUUUAACGAGUUCAACAACCCAUCAUACCUCCAGAGGUGGCAGUUUGUUCGUGAUAACGGGACCUUGAUUAUUAACCCUGCAGAGAAGAGAGACGCAGGAACAUACAGAGUGGAGAUCUAUGAGGAGUCAACAGGGAGGAGUGUGGGAGAUCACACAGUUCAGCUGAUCCUUCAAGGUACCUCCACUGUGUCUGUCAAACCAACUAACCAGACUAACACGACUCUUCCCUCUACCCACCCAGGUCCCUCAGUGACGGUAAUAGUUAUUUGUGUGUUAUUAUCCCUGACUGUGUGUCUGUGUGUCGCUGUGGGGACGUUCUACAUCAGAAUGAAAAAGAGGAAUACACACACUCCAGUGAGUGAAAAGAAAGAGCCUGACGAUUUGGUGUACGCCCAGGUGACCACUGGUAGCAACGGCAGAAGACAAAUAUCAGACAUUCAAGGUACAAGAGUGGAAACAGAGGAUGUGGUGUAUUCUGGCGUUGCCAUGGCAAAUAGGAGCAGCAGGCAUAACAGCAGGAAGCCACCAGCAGGUGAGUCUCUGAAAGAGGGACUUUAUUCACACACACACACUUACACAAACACAUACACAC
rnacentral:lncRNA from 1 species